GACGAACGCUGGCGGCGUGCUUAACACAUGCAAGUCGAACGAAGAGCGUAGGAAGGUUGCUUCUAUCAAACUUAGUGGCGAACGGGCGGGGAACGCGUAAUCAACCCGUCCUUAACAGGGGGGACACAGUUGGAAAAGAGUUCUAAUACCGCAUACGAUCUGAACUAGGGAUCGGUGAUAGAUGAAAGGGGGUCCCUACAUGUAAGCGUAUAACGUAGGCGGGGGUUGCGUCUGAUUAGCUAGUUGGUGGGGUAACGGCCCACCAAGGCGAUGAUCAGUAGCCGGUCUGAGAGGAUGAACGGCCACAUUGGGACUGAGACACGGCCCAGACUCCUACGGGAGGCAGCAGUGGGGAAUCUUCCGCAAUGGACGAAAGUCUGACGGAGCAACGCCGCGUGAGUGAUGACGGCCGUCGGGUUGUAAAGCUCUGUUAAUCGGGACGAAAGGCCUUCUUGCGAAUAGUGAGAAGGAUUGACGGUACCGGAAGAGAAAGCCACGGCUAACUACGUG
rnacentral:rRNA from 1 species